rnacentral:lncRNA from 1 species
AAGGGGUGUAAAAAGUAAUAUGAAGGUGAAAGGAAACAAAACAAAAUGGGCUUACUAGCCCAUCAUACAUAAAAAAAACUAAUUAAUUUUUAUCAACAAACUUAAUUUUUUUUCCUUUCUUUUAUUAUUUUCUUUUUACUUUUUCUUUUCUAUCGUAUUUUUUUAUUUUUUUUAUUUAAUUUUGAAUGUUAAAUUUUCUAAUCUUCUAAAAUUGUAUUAUUCAAUUAAUAAAUUUUAUUCAUCCAAACAAAAUUGAGUAUUAAAAUAUUGCAAAUUAGAGAAAACAAAAACUUGACAAGUCAUGGGUAAUGUAUUAUGUACACAUUUAUAAGCCUUUAUACAGUGUUAAUGAGUUAGGCUGUUGAUACUCUCUUCAAAAACA